GACGUUUAGCGACAGAAGAAGACACCGGCUAACUCCGUGCCAGCAGCGCGGUAAUACGGAGGGUGCGAGCGUUAAUCGGAAUUACUGGGCGUAAAGACGCAUGCAGGUGGUUUGGUUUAAGUUCAGAUGUGAAAGCCCGGGGCGUCAACCUCCGGAAAUUGCAUUUGUAAACUAGGCAGACUAGAGUACUGUAGAGGGGGGUAGGGAAGUUUCAGGUGUAGCGGUGAAAUAGCGUAGAGAUCUGAAGGAAUACCGGUGGCGAAGGCGGCCCCCUCGGACAGAUACUGACACUCAGAUGCAAAAGCGUGGGGAGCAAACAGGAUUAGACACCCUGGUAG
rnacentral:rRNA from 1 species